AUUGAACGCUGGCGGCAUGCCUAACACAUGCAAGUCGAGCGAACAGACGAGGAUCUUGCUUGGCUGACGUUACCGACGGACGGGUGAUGCACACGUAUAUACCCUACCUAUGGGACUGGGGUAAGUUCGGGGAACCUAAUCCAACAUCGGACAAUAUGUUGAACCGGAGGGUUCAUUAGAGCUAGCGCUAUUUGCUGACACUUGUUGGUGUUACCUAGCUGCAUUAGCUAGGGGGUAAGGUAACGGCUUACCAAGGCAACGAUGCGUAGCUGACCUGAGAGGGUGAUCGGCCACACUGGAACUGAGACACGGUCCAGACUCCUACGGGAGGCAGCAGUAGGGAAUAUUGCGCAAUGGGCGAAAGCCUGACGGAGCAACGCCGCGUGAGUGAUGAAGGUCUUCGGAUCGUAAAACUCUGUUAGUAGGGAAGAACAAAUGUGUAAGUAACUAUGCACGUCUUGACGGUACCUAAUCAGAAAGCCACGGCUAACUACGUG
rnacentral:rRNA from 1 species